CUUCUGAGCCGGACGCGGAGGUAACUCUGGAGUAUCGCGUGGACAACCUGCGCCCGGCCACCGCGUAUGCGCUCCGACUCGCAGCCGUUAACGACAUCGGGGAAAGCGACUACUCUGACACAAUCAUCGUGAACACUCUAGAAGAGGCACCUUCGGAGCCCCCUCGAGCUGUAGAGGUCCUGGCAGACGCUCCGGGAGAACUACUUAUCAAGUGGCAGGCACCUCCCCAAGAGUCGUGGAACGGAGAGUUGCUUGGGUACGCGGUGUGGUGCCGCGGCGGGAAUGCUUCUCUGUCACUAAGUGUAAGCGGGUG